rnacentral:rRNA from 1 species
AACGCGAAGAACCUUACCAAGGCUUGACAUCCUAGGAACCCUGUAGAAAUAUGGGGGUGCCUUCGGGAGCCUAGUGACAGGUGCUGCAUGGCCGUCGUCAGCUCGUGUCGUGAGAUGUUGGGUUAAGUCCCGCAACGAGCGCAACCCUUGUCGUCUGUUGAAUAUUUCAGACGAGACUGCCCGGGCCAACCGGGAGGAAGGUGGGGAUGAAGUCAGGUCAGCAUGGCCCUUACGCCUUGGGCUACACACGUCAUACAAUGGCCGGUACAACGCGUUGCCAACCCGCGAGGGGGAGCUAAUCGCAACAAAACCGGUCCCAGUUCGGAUUGGAGGCUGCAACUCGCCUCCAUGAAGUCGGAAUCGCUAGUAACCGUGGGUCAGCAUACCGCGGUGAAUACGUUCCCGGGCCUUGUACACACCGAGACGUA